rnacentral:rRNA from 1 species
UACGGGGGGGGCAAGCGUUGUUCGGAAUUACUGGGCGUAAAGGGCUCGUAGGCGGCCAACUAAGUCAGACGUGAAAUCCCUCGGCUUAACCGGGGAACUGCGUCUGAUACUGGAUGGCUUGAGUUCGGGAGAGGGAUGCGGAAUUCCAGGUGUAGCGGUGAAAUGCGUAGAUAUCUGGAGGAACACCGGUGGCGAAGGCGGCAUCCUGGACCGGCACUGACGCUGAGGAGCGAAAGCCAGGGGAGCAAACAGG